rnacentral:lncRNA from 13 species
ACACACACACACACACACACACACACACACACACACACACACGGUCGGGAGGUUUAGUCGGCACAGUGCUAUAUCUGUUUAAUCAAAGAGGGCUGUGAACUAAAGGGAUGUUUUUCUGUCUGUUAUCAGUGUAGUAUUAUAUGAAGUACCGUGUUGCUCCCUUACAUGUUUUCGUUUAGAACAAGGUACGUCAACAGUGUAAAAAAAAGACUAGGAGGUCAAUUUAAUCCAACCCAGAUUGCAGUAUUUAUGCAGUGGUUAUUUUUCCAAUGGUCAAAUGAAUUCACAGACUGGUCUUGGGUUAUGUUUAAAAACCUACAACUACGACCAGGCGGGUUUGAUUGAAUCCCGACCUAGCUCACCAUGCCGUUUAAUCCUACACUCACUCCUGCUUAGCUGUUCUAAAUCACACUCAAUGUGCUGUUUACAAGAAGCCAGAGAGAGAGAGACUUGCUCAAAAAAAUGACAAAUAAAUAGCCUUUUCAGUAUUAUCUCUUUGUCAGCCAGCAAAGCAAUUGUUCAAGUAUUUGUUAUUGUGCGUUUGUUUAUCGCAGUGGUUGUUCUGCUGUAUCAAAGUUUUACUUCACCAUAACGCGUUGUGUUCCUCUUUGUGACCGAAUGGAAAGAAUCCUCCUUAAAUACUUCUAAAGUAUGUUAUUUACAUUGUAGCAACCCAAUGCCAAGUACACAACUGAGAGGAAUCAAGUUGGACUGUUAUAGUAACUAGUCAGCCAUUUUCUGCCGACUCACUAAUUGUUUGUAUAUCUUCAAGGUACUGUUUAUGUGUCAAAAUCUACACUUUAAAAAAACAAAAAAUAAUCUCUGUGCUGUUUGGGCCCAUUGUUUGACAACCUAGACUGUGCUUGUGGUCAAGGGGUGAUUGAGAAGAGCUGAACAAAGCUACUUGUAGCCAUGACUCUUAUUCUUGAAUGUGCAAACCGUUAAAAGCUGCACUUUAAACUCUCUGUUCUCCAGUAGGAAGAAAGAGAAGAAAAGUCGUCAUUGAGAAGUUAUGGGAUUGAUUUGAAGGGGGUAACAAUGUGUUGAGGCUUCAGAGGCACAGAACAGCCAUUGUUUUACCUGUACACCCUGUAGGGACACAGAAUCAGUCGGCAAACUAAAUGUACCCCGAGGCUUCGGUCCAGUACUGUACAUUUGUUUCUGUGCAAACUCAUGCUUUCAAACAGAUGCUGACAAACGGAAACCAAUUCACUUUUGUCAUAUUUUAGAAAAAUCUAUAAAUUAUUAAGGAUUGUAAAAAAAUAAGUUGGUGAGAAUAGUCUGUUUUUUUUAUUGUUAAGUUAUGAGUUAAAACAUUUUGAUAGAGACUGGAUUGUUAUCCAAUGACCAAAUGCAUAAUAUCUCAUUGUAUUGUCUGAUUUUGCUUUUAUGUAAACAUGUAUUUUGUUAAUCUAUGGUUACUUCCACAAAACAAUGAAUAAACCUUUGAAGAAAUUGUAUGAUAUUGAUAUUUUGCUCAAUUUGGGACUCUAUAAAAAUAUACAGUAUAUAUUCAUGGGAAUUAUAUAAACUUGUAUGAAUAAUUUUUGAACCAUUGAGUUAUUUUUCUAUCAACUUUAACACAUGAGAAAAAAACUCAUUUCGCUUUUACUCUGAUCAAAAAUAUGAAACUCUUGCAUCACUAUACCAAAACGUUACAUUAAAAUGUAUAUUUUUUUAAACAGCACUUGAAAAUAAAUCUGAAUUCACCACAGUUUGGUUUUGCAACAUUAACUCCUCACUGUUAUCUGCUAAAAACACAUUUAAACCUGCACUUUUGGCAUUCUGGGUUAAAGAGGUCCUUCCCAG